rnacentral:lncRNA from 1 species
UACCUGAGCUUCGCAUCCAGGGGUAGAUCCGGAAGUUACUCUCGGCCGCCAAGUCCGAGUCCCUCUGCUCCUUGGCGCCCGCCGCCUUGGCGGAGUCGCCGGGACACACCCCGGAGAGGUUCUGCUCAAAGGGCGCGCAGUGCAUGUUGAAGGAACUCGGCUCGAGCCCAUAGCCGGCCGCGUAGACGCCGGCCGCGCUCUGGCCCGCCAUGCCCCCCCCGCCGGGGUACAAGCCCUGCAUCGAGGCGGCGAAGGAAGCGCCCGAACCCGCUCCAUAGCCCGGGCGCUGGGGGUUGGAAGCAAACGCACAAGAAGUUUGUUCUGGGAAGGCUCCGGUAGCGAAAACCGAACUUGAGGCUGGAU